UUGGUUUUCCUUUUGUUACGUACUGAUAUGAAAGUGAAAGUAGAAACCUUGAAACCAUUGUGACUGUCAGUUGGUGUUUAUGUAUGUUGAGAUGGCUGUCAAGUCGAUUCUUUCAUCAACUUAAUAACAAUUGUUUGUUUUUAUGGCCUAUAGAUGCAUGCAGUAACUUGAGUUCAGUGUCACAUUGCUGCGUCUAAAAAGCCCAAAGCUGAUAAGACUGGCGAUUGAUCCUAAAGCUGAUUUGACAGAUGAUUGCAUCAUCGCAAUAUUAAAGGUUCAAUAUACAGUCAGCGUCUCAUAAGAAUAAAUCCCAAGAACCAAGACUUGCUUAAAAGCUUAAUUAAGAGACCAUUCUGUGCCACAAAGAAAUUGUUCAGGAAAGGGAGAAAUGGUGGAUUUGCAUUUUGGGUACAGUUCAAAGAGAGUUCAAAAUGGUCAAGCUCAUGGAAGAUCAGAGGGAGGACAACUGAAGAAAACUGAAAGAUACAGAAGGAAAAAGAACAAGAAAAUGUAUGAAAUAAUUAUGAAAUUGGGAGGAUGUACACAAUCUUGUCUGCAUUUGACCUGUAAAGAUUUAAUUCCCAUUCUUAUUUGUAUGCUGUAAUAUCAAAUAACUUGAUUUUUCAUAAAUUUACCAUAGAGAAUACAUGACAAAUGUUAUAUGUGAUAUUUCAAUUUUGCUUUGGACACUUUCAUGUCAAAUCAUAUAAAUUAUAAAAAAGUACAUGGACUAAUUAUGUUAUUCAUUUGUACAUGUAUGCAUGUUUAACUAUUUAAUCAUUUUGUGGAAAUCUUAUAAUUGUACUCAACUUAGAAUAUGUAAAAUAUAUGUAUCGACAAAUGCUACUGACUUGUUUGUAUACUUUCCUGUUUAGAAAGUACACUGAAAAAUAAGUUAUUUCUCUUGAUGAAAAUAAUUUAUCAAAAAAGUUGUGUAAGCAUUUUAAGAUAUUAAUUUUCAAAUAUUUAACCCAUGAUGAUAGAUCAUUGGAAUGUAAUGGAUUUUCAUCUAAAGCAGAAAUAUCUGAUUUUUAAAUGUGUACAAGAAUGUGUUUUUCCUUGUGAUAAAUAUUGAAAGAGAACACAUGUAACUAUUUCAUAUGAUUUACAUAUGCUGCCCUUUUCAUAUGAUUCACAUAUGUGGACAGACAUGAAAAAAGUAUAAAAAUGAUAAGUACAACAGUAAUAUUAUACACGUAUAAUUCACAU